rnacentral:rRNA from 1 species
GACGAACGCUGGCGGCGUGCUUAACACAUGCAAGUCGAACGGAAAGGCCCUGCUUUUGUGGGGUGCUCGAGUGGCGAACGGGUGAGUAACACGUGAGUAACCUGCCCUUGACUUUGGGAUAACUUCAGGAAACUGGGGCUAAUACCGGAUAGGAGCUCCUGCUGCAUGGUGGGGGUUGGAAAGGUUCGGCGGUUGGGGAUGGACUCGCGGCUUAUCAGCUUGUUGGUGGGGUAGUGGCUUACCAAGGCUUUGACGGGUAGCCGGCCUGAGAGGGUGACCGGCCACAUUGGGACUGGGAUACGGCCCAGACUCCUACGGGAGGCAGCAGUGGGGAAUAUUGCACAAUGGGCGGAAGCCUGAUGCAGCAACGCCGCGUGCGGGAUGACGGCCUUCGGGUUGUAAACCGCUUUCGCCUGUGACGAAGCGUGAGUGACGGUAAUGGGUAAAGAAGCACCGGCCAACUACGUG